UACAGGGGUCUCAAGCGUUGUUCGGAUUCAUUGGGCGUAAAGGGUGCGUAGGCGGCGCGGUAAGUCGGGUGUGAAAUCUCGGAGCUUAACUCCGAAACUGCAUUCGAUACUGCCGUGCUUGGGGACUGGAGAGGAGACUGGAAUUUACGGUGGUAGCGGUGAAAUGCGUAGAUAUCGUAAGGAAGACCAGUGGCGAAGGCGGG
rnacentral:rRNA from 1 species